UGAUGGUGGUGGCUGGAAUGGGUUUGGGAAGAGUGGUGGUGGACUUGGUGGCUGAAAUGGGUUAGGGAAGAGUGGUGGUGGAGAUGGUGGUUGGAAUGGGUUAGGAAGCAAAGGUGGUGGCUGAAAUGGGUUAGGAAUUAAAGGUGGUGGCUGAAAUGGGUUAGGAAUUAGAGGUGGCUGAAAUGGGUUAGGGAUAAUUGGUGGGAAAAAUGGGUUUGUUGGAAAAAAG
rnacentral:lncRNA from 1 species